GGAGAGUUGGCCGAGUGGCUGAAGGCGCUCGCUUGGAAAGCGAGUUUACCCGUUAAAAGGUAACGAGAGUUCGAAUCUCUCAUUCUCCGCCA
rnacentral:tRNA from 1 species